UACAGAGGGUGCAAGCGUUGUUCGGAAUUAUUGGGCGUAAAGCGCGUGUAGGCGGCUUGGUAAGUCGGGUGUGAAAUCCCUCAGCUCAACUGAGGAGGUGCGCCCGAAACUGCUUAGCUUGAGUGCCGGAGAGGAUGGCGGAAUUCCCCAAGUAGAGGUGAAAUUCGUAGAUAUGGGGAGGAACACCGGUGGCGAAGGCGGCCAUCUGGACGGCAACUGACGCUGAGACGCGAAAGCGUGGGUAGCAAACAGG
rnacentral:rRNA from 1 species